GCCUUCGUGGUAUAGUGGUCAGCCCGCUCGGCGCGCAUUCGAGAGGUCCGUGGUUCGAGUCCCUGCGAAUGCA
rnacentral:tRNA from 1 species